UACGAAGGGGGCUAGCGUUGCUCGGAAUCACUGGGCGUAAAGCGCACGUAGGCGGAUUGCUAAGUCAGGGGUGAAAUCCUGGAGCUCAACUCCAGAACUGCCUUUGAUACUGGCGAUCUUGAGUCCGGGAGAGGUGAGUGGAACUGCGAGUGUAGAGGUGAAAUUCGUAGAUAUCUGCAGGAACACCCGUGGCGAAAGCGGCGCGCUGGACCACUACUGACGCUGAGGAACGAAAGCUAGGGGAGCAAACAGG
rnacentral:rRNA from 1 species